rnacentral:lncRNA from 1 species
CAGUAUAUUCAAACAUCUUCCGCAGAAAUAAUUUUAAAAUUUCUUUCGAGAAGCAUUUCCCCUUAAUAAGUGGCUG